AUGUAUUAACGGUUCCUCAGUUGUUCGCGGGUCAUUUGGAAGCAUCGUUUAUUGAGCGUCUGGAUGUCUUUACUGUACACACACACUGUUGAUGUGAUGGACAGUGAAUCUGAAUUGUGCCCAGCAACAUAUUCGCGCCACAGUCGAUAAAGGAAGGGGAAAAUAAGUUGCCAGUCUACGAAGGGUUAGGAUGGAGACUGCUUCUUUGCUGCUGUCAAAUACCAUGUGGAAGAUCAGAAAACGUCGGCAGGAGAGAAGGCAAUGCAGAGAUGAAGGACAUCAUACCACAAUAAUAGUUGUGUGUAUAAGCCUGAUCAACAAGUGAAAAGAGUCAGAUAAGAGGAAAGAGUUUGAAAACUGAUUUGACGACCACUGCUGAAUAGGCCUGCUAAGAGGAUGAGGCACUAAUGAUUCCAGAAGAGGAAGCCAAAGAAGAAGACCUACACAGACUUUGAAAUGGAUCUCUCAAUUGCCAUGAUGACCAAGAUAUUCAACGGGAAAAUGUGGAAAGCUGCCAUAAUAGCAGUCAUUACUUUGUCAAAUCAUCUGUGCAGCACCACCGAGGGAUCCUACUUUCCUGAGUACGAAGCCGGCCAUCAAGGAGUUCCCCGACUGGCAACAGACUGUAGCAGGGACAGCAUUUUUUUUUUGCUACUGAAAUAAUUUACAUUAUGAUAGAAAGUGGACAAUAUAGUGUGACAAUUAGUUUUUGUUCUCCAACAUGUACACACUGCUGUUGUGAAGCAGUGAUAUACAGCUCACGAGUGUGUAGUCAAAAGAGAGAAAUACUGUAUAUUUCAGCGACUCCUACAGAUUAAGAAAAAUAAUGACUUUUGUUAAUAAAUAAAUGUUAUUCUUGG